UGUUCCGCCGCUCAAAAAAAACCAUCUCUCUCUCUCUCUCUUCUUCCUUCCGCCUGUUUCUGCCGCACACACAACAAAGAAAAAAAAAUUAAUUGGAUCUGCAUUGAAGGAGGAUAGAUGGGGUUUCAAGUGGCUUUGAAGAAGCGUCAUGAGAGUUAAAUUUUGGUUUGUCUUUCGAAUUAAGAGACUCGGGAUUAGGUGGAAUUGAGGAUUUGUCAAAUUCAUAGAACGGAGCAAGGAAUAAAAUUUCAGGAUUGUUAUUAUCUUCUAGGUGAAUGUUAAAUAAAGCCUUGAUGUUUAGUUAAUGAAUUGAGAGUCGUGUAAUUACGAGAUUUCUUUCCUUUAGGUCGAGUUUUAUUUCAAGUUGAGGAAUAUUUAUACAUAUCAAGUUAAUUUGAUUAAUGUUGA